UUUAUUUCUAGCUAAGAUGGGCAUGUUGCAGUUUUGACAGUUAUAAAUUUUAUCUUAGUAAUAUCUCAGUGAUAUUAAGAUUGGAUUUGCUUAAUAUUUCUUUCAAAAUAGAGUAUGAAAAGUUAUGAAUGGGACGUAGUUGAAAUGCAAAGAAUGAGCUAAACUAAUCUGAAGACAUUUAUCAGGAAUGAAAAGUUAUGAAUGGGGCUUAGUUGAAAUGCAAGGAAAGAGCUAAACUAAUCUUGACAUUUAUUAGGUAUGAAAAGUUAUGAAUGGGACGUAGUUGAAAUGCAAAGAAUGAGCUAAACUAAUCUGAAGACAUUUAUCAGGAAUGAAAAGUUAUGAAUGGGGCUUAGUUGAAAUGCAAGGAAAGAGCUAAACUAAUCUUGACAUUUAUUAGGUGUGUAUAUUUA